rnacentral:lncRNA from 1 species
ACAAUAGUACAGAGAUUAAAGCAUGGCAGCUCUAGGGUCCAUUUGGCCACCAGUCCACUUCACUUUUCCUCUGCUCACCACGCGCAAGUCCCCAUCCUAUGUGGCCCCAGAUGCCGCGUUUCUCACAGCCUUUUUCUUGUAUUCCUAUCUAAAACCUUGCGAGUCCAUUUGGAACUUUUAGAUUAUCCGACAGAUGCCUGAUCGCACACUUUUGACCGCUGGAUGCAUGAAGAUGUAUAUUCUCAGACAAACUAAAAAAAACUACUAACACUAAGCGUUAAUCUAGAUCAAAAGAGGCACAUGGACGUAUCCCAGAAAAAUGGAGAAAUUAUAUCCCAUGCCACGUGCAUAAAUGGUUGUGCAUGCUGACAUUCGUAGCUGCUUAUUCCCAUAGUGAUACACUUAAUGUAUGAUAUUCAAAUAAAUGAGUGGAUGUAAUUGACAAGGUGCACCACUGCAUGAUACACGCUAUAUAGAAUAUAAUUUUUUCAAAAUGUGGCUUGCUUUUAGCAUGUUGGGGAAUGGAUUUUCUGAGUGCUGUGUAUGC